rnacentral:rRNA from 1 species
UACGAAGGGGGCUAGCGUUGCUCGGAAUCACUGGGCGUAAAGCGCACGUAGGCGGCUUUCUAAGUCAGGGGUGAAAUCCUGGAGCUCAACUCCAGAACUGCCUUUGAUACUGGGAAGCUCGAGUCCGGAAGAGGUGAGUGGAACUGCGAGUGUAGAGGUGAAAUUCGUAGAUAUUCGCAAGAACACCAGUGGCGAAGGCGGCUCACUGGUCCGGUACUGACGCUGAGG